UCAGAGACUGGUUGUUAGUCUAAAACAACCUUAACAAGUCAGAGGUCCCAUAUUGCUCAGGUAAUAGGUUUUUGUGUGGAUUGAGUGGCCGAGGAUUUCACUAUCUCUCUCUAUAUAAGGAUGAACUCGAUAUGCUCUCUUGUUUAUGUGGAGGUGAAACUGCUUUUCAUGAAGAUGUUGAUCAAGGGACAUGGGAAACAAUUAUUUUACGAUUUUCUUUGUAAAUUUGCCGAAGAAAGCGACAUCUCCUACAAUGUUACAAUGAUUGACUUUUGCUGAUGUAUUAACUUGUGUAUAAUGAUAUAUGUCAAUCUUCGGAAGUUGCUUGUAUAAAUCAAUUGUAUACACAUGUACAUAUAUGUCUUUAUGUAAAUUAUUGCUUUAGGUAAUCAUCUUGAUUAAAGUAAUUGUAUAUACAUUUA